CCAACGGGGAUUGCCUCAGUAACGGCGAGUGAAGCGGCAACAGCUCAAAUUUGAAAUCUGGGCCUUUCAGGCUCCGAGUUGUAAUUUGUAGAAGAUGCUUCGAGCGUGGCACCGGUCUAAGUUCCUUGGAACAGGACGUCAUAGAGGGUGAGAAUCCCGUAUGCGACUGGCCGCCUCCGUUCAUGUGAAGCUCUUUCGACGAGUCGAGUUAUUUGGGAAUGCAGCUCAAAAUGGGUGGUAUAUUUCAUCUAAAGCUAAAUAUUGGCCAGAGACCGAUAGCGCACAAGUAGAGUGAUCGAAAGAUGAAAAGCACUUUGGAAAGAGAGUUAAACAGUACGUGAAAUUGUUGAAAGGGAAGCGCUU
rnacentral:rRNA from 1 species